CAAUAGCGUAUAUUAAAGUUGUUGCAGUUAAAAAGCUCGUAGUCGGAUUUCAACCACAGCUGUGCGGUCCGCUGAGUGCGGCUACUGCACGGUUGGGUCUCUCAUCUGGUCUGUCCCAUGCUACUCUUCAGUGAGUGGCAUGGGUAGCCGGAACGUUUACUUUGAGAAAAUCAGCGUGCUCAAAGCAGGCUUACUGCUCGAAUAGUAGUGCAUGGAAUGAUAGAAUAGGACCUUCGGCCCUAUUUGUUGGUUUUUGGACCGAGGUAAUGGUUAAUAGAGACAGACGGGGGCAUUCGUACUGCGGUGUUAGAGGUGAAAUUCGAAGAUCGCCGCAAGACGAACAACAGCGAAAGCAUUUGCCAUGGAUGUUUUCAUUGA
rnacentral:rRNA from 1 species